rnacentral:rRNA from 1 species
GAGUUUGAUCGUGGCUCAGAGUGAACGCUGGCGGUAGGCCUAACACAUGCAAGUCGAACGGUAACAGGUCUUUCGGGAUGCUGACGAGUGGCGGACGGGUGAGGAAUACAUCGGAAUCUGCUCAGUCGUGGGGGAUAACGCAUGGAAACGUGCGCUAAUACCGCAUACGACCUUCGGGUGAAAGCAGGGGAAUCUCUCGGGAUCCCUGCGCGAUUGAAUGAGCCGAUGUCGGAUUAGCUAGUUGGUAGGGUAAAAGCCUACCAAGGCCACGAUCCGUAGCUGGUCUGAGAAGAUGAUCAGCCACACUGGGACUGAGACACGGCCCAGACUCCUGCGGGAGGCAGCAGUGGGGAAUAUUGGACAAUGGGGGCAACCCUGAUCCAGCCAUACCGCGUGGGUGAAGAAGGCCUUCUGGGUUGUAAAGCCCUUUUGUUGGGGAAGAAAAACAACGGGUUAAUACCCCGUUGGUAUGACGGUACCCAAAGAAUAAGCACCGGCUAACUUCGUGCCAGCAGCCGCGGUAAUACGAAGGGUGCAAGCGUUACUCGGAAUUACUGGGCGUAAAGGGUGCGUAGGUGGUUGCGCCAGUCUGUCGUGAAAGCCCUGGGCUUAACCUGGGAAUGGCGAUGGAAACUGUGCAACUAGAGUGUGACAGAGGGUGGUGGAAUUCCUGGUGUAGCAGUGAAAUGCGUAGAGAUCAGGAGGAACAUUCGUGGCGAAGGCGGCCACCUGGGUCAACACUGACACUGAGGCACGAAAGCGUGGGGAGCAAACAGGAUUAGAUACCCUGGUAGUCCACGCCCUAAACGAUGCGAACUGGAUGUUGGGUCCAACUUGGGAUUCAGUAUCGAAGCUAACGCGUUAAGUUCGCCGCCUGGGGAGUACGGUCGCAAGACUGAAACUCAAAGGAAUUGACGGGGGCCCGCACAAGCGGUGGAGUAUGUGGUUUAAUUCGAUGCAACGCGCAGAACCUUACCUGGCCUUGACAUGCACGGA